rnacentral:rRNA from 1 species
AUUGAACGCUGGCGGCAGGCCUAACACAUGCAAGUCGAGCGGUAGAGAGGUGCUUGCAUCUCUUGAGAGCGGCGGACGGGUGAGUAAUGCCUAGGAAUCUGCCUAGUGGUGGGGGAUAACGUUCGGAAACGGACGCUAAUACCGCAUACGUCCUACGGGAGAAAGCGGGGGAUCUUCGGACCUCGCGCCAUUAGAUGAGCCUAGGUCGGAUUAGCUAGUUGGUGAGGUAAUGGCUCACCAAGGCGACGAUCCGUAACUGGUCUGAGAGGAUGAUCAGUCACACUGGAACUGAGACACGGUCCAGACUCCUACGGGAGGCAGCAGUGGGGAAUAUUGGACAAUGGGCGAAGCCUGAUCCAGCCAUGCCGCGUGUGUGAAGAAGGUCUUCGGAUUGUAAAGCACUUUAAGUUGGAGGAAGGGUAGGUAACCUAAUACGUU